CCCAAUCAGCAGGAUGUUGUGUUUUUUGAGAAAAAUGGACUUCUCCAUGGACAUUUUACACUUCCUUUCCUCAAAGUUGAGGUUAAGGUUAAUGACCUUCUCUGGAAUGCAGAUUCCACCGUGCUUGCAGUAUGGAAGACCUUCAGAGGGAAGAAAAUUCCACUCUAAAAACCUAUGUUCAGCUCUGGACUGUUGGAAACUAUCACUGGUAUCUCAAGCAAAGCCUGCCCUUCGGCACCUGUGGGAAGAGCGAGAUUGUGUCCCUGAUGUGGGGCCCAGUGACCCCAUACCGGCUGUAUGUUCUCUGUCAAGGCUGACAUUACCUCUGCUAUGA
rnacentral:lncRNA from 1 species